rnacentral:lncRNA from 1 species
UUUCCCCAAAUUCCUUCAACUCUGGAGGACAACCGUCAGUAACAUUGUCAGGGAUUGCAGUUCUACAAAACAACUUCCAACCCUCUUCUUCCGAGAGAAGCUGCAUGUCAUGUGGAACACUUCGAGCAUCUGCUUGCAAAGCAACAUCCUUAUUUCGAGUUGUAAGAAGUAAUCUGCUGCCAUUACUCUCCUCUGGGAACACCCUUGCAAGACACUUCCAAUCGUCACUUUUCCAUAUGUCAUCCAAAACUACCAAAAAUCUUUUCUCCUCUAGGUGCUCGUGAAGUAAAUCCUCCAACUCGUUCUCCUGCAAUUUCUCUAUCUGCUUUGGGUUAUGAAGAAGUUGGUUUAGAAUUUGCUGAAAAAUAUUCCUGGGUCUACAAUCUUCAGAUACAUAAACCCAGACACGACAAGACUGAAAAUGAUCCAUAACUCUGCUAUGAUUAUAGACUUUCUUGGCAAGAGUAGUUUUGCCGAUGCCGCCCAUUCCUACUAUAGAAACCACGCGGCGCCUUGGGUCCCCCGUGGUCAGCUGCUCCACUAGCUUAUUUGCUUCUUCAUUCAGGCCCACAAUGACAUGUUUUUCGGCGCGAGGAGUGGUCCGUCUUAGAUUCUGCAGCAUCUGACUUGAAGUACUUGUUCCUACUCCAAUAUUUUUUAUUCCCAGGAUUUCUCGCCUCCUUGAGAUGUCAUGGAGGUUGGUUUGGAUCUCAUCAAUUUUCUUGCCAAGAUUAUGCAGAUACACGGGCUUUUGGAAAAUGCGCUUGACAAAGAUUUUUCUCCUCAGGGCCUCAGCCUUAAGGAUGAACAUGUCGACAACGUCCUCAGCAUCAUAAGCAACAUCUCGGAUGUCCGAAACCCAGUUACGCACUCUUGGGUCUUCCUCUUGCUUCGCAUCUGCUGCUUCUAAGAAGCAGUUGAUCGCCUUCAGAUCUCUAUGCAGCCUCUCAAUUCGUGGGCGCACCUCCUUCAAGAAAAUUGCUUCUUCCAUGAGUUGGUCACCAAUCCUGUUUACGACAAAGGAGAUUACAGCCCUUUCCAUCUUAAUCUUCUCCUUAUUACUCCCCUUAAACAGCUGAACGGAGAUGAUAAUCCUGAAUAGGAGGGGCUAGAAGCAAGAGCUUAUCGUGUUGAUCAUUCAAACACUACAGUUCUUUUGUGAUUUGGUGGAGAGGAAUGUAUUUUACGUCAUGCAUGAGCUGGACUUGAUUUCAAUUGAGCAACUACCCACAAUUGAGAGUAACAUAUCCGCCAAUGGUUUCUAGAUAUCAUUUGGUUGCUUCACUGCAAAAUAAAUUUUUCAUCCAUCAGUCUAUUUUAUCACUUCUUGUUUUCUAAAUUAUUUUUCAAAAUGUGUCAGCUAGUUAAUGUUAGAAAAAAUGUACACCAUGUUCUAUAAUCAACGGUCCCUCACAUUCGUGGUGCUAAAAAAAACAAAAACGUGAUACCUACCGAAUAUGAAAUCUGGAUCAUUGAAUAUAUGUGGUGAGAUCUUGACAAUUGAAUAAGGGUAUAAAGGAAUAAGAUCAAGAUAUAAGAAUAUAAACAAAUGAGAUUAAGGCAUUACAGGACACCGUUUGAUAAAUGAUGAUUUUUUGGUAGGUAUUGAAAAAAUACAUUUCUAUAUUUGACUAAACCCCUUCUUUUAUUCUUGUUAUCGUGUGAUAAAGAAAUGAACUUUCGUGUGAACGCAGAAGAGAUGACUUAAUUUUGAUUAACCACAUCCCAUAUAGGCUUUGGUGUUUACAUGAUGCCUAAAAAGUUGGAGGACUGAAGAUUUCUCCCAAGGCUAGUUAACUAGCUUGAGUUAUUCUGUUUCCACUCAUUCAGCGUGAAAGAGCGUGGAGACGCAAUGGCAUGUCGUCUUCUUGCCCAUCCAAGGAAAGAUGUAUUGAACCCAAAAUAAAUGAAGAUAAAAUAAGAGUAGUAGUUACAAAUUAGAAGUCAGUUUUGAGAAGAAUCUGCCUCGGUUUUCUGAAAUUGGAUAUGCAUGCCUGGAUAAUUAAAUUUAGGCUGAAAAUGUUGGAUGGCCGCAGGUUGAUGCUUGCAUGGCCAUGUCUGUUCUUGAAGCUGGCCUAUCUGAACUACAGUGUGACAUAAUUGGAUUUAGAUCCAUGGGGAGUGGUAUACCUUUAGGUUGUGUUUGGUAGGGGUAUAAGAAUGGGAAUGAAGGGGAAUCAAACAUGUGGAAGAGCGGAAUAAAAAACUAGACAAGGUGAGGUAGGUUUUAAUUCCCAUUAAAAUGAAUUUUCUAUUCCCAUUCUCAUUUGUUAGAAAUAAUCCAAAAACGGUAAUGAAUGAGAACUGGAAUGGAUUUCCCAUUCCUCCUAUUCAAGCAUACAAAGCCCAUUACUCUGAUCACAGUGCCCACAAGCAGGCUACCGCCUAUUGUACAGAGUCAUCAAGCAAAAUAAGCAGAAUUCAACAAACCCCAAUAGAGAUCAAGACAGCAACACCCGGUGAAGAAGAUGAACAGAAUGGGGAACUAUGGGAAGUGGGAACAGUUCUUUCAGCUGGUUUUAUAAUAGGGGGGAUCGAACCAAAUGACAGCAAUUGGAGUGUGCAACAAAAGAAAAGUUGAGGAAACAGAGGAAUCCAAAGAAGAGUGUGAAGGAAUCCUGAAGCUUUGUUUGAUGGCCCUGAAGAAGAGACAGAUAUUGUGCUGCUAGGACAAGACAAAAACAUAGAAAUUAAUAGGAUAACCUUCAUUAUUUAUGGCUAAAUCAACAUGGUAUUCAGAAAGAAGGAGACUAUUCCAAUUUACAUAAAUUACAAAUGGAGGACUUGAAGAUAUGCUUGCAGGUGAAACAAAAGUGACAAGCUCAAACAGUCACCAGCCUGACUAGGUCUUGACCAAGCACGGAUUCGCAUCCUUUACAAUCAUAUGUAAAAGAAAAACACCAUUUAUAACUUCAUUACCUGAAACCAGUCUUCUUGUGUUGCUGCUUAUAACCCCAGCAAUCAUCAGCAGUAUAAGUGCCAUAUACUGUCACCAUUUCCUGUCUUGCUGAAAUGGAGAUGAAAAUCAAGCACAGCACAGCCUAUUAGAUAAGGGAAAAAAAAGGAAAAAGAAGAUGAGGGAGUAAGGCUAUAGUUGAUUUUGUUUGGAUAGUCUCAUUUGGGAAAAUGAUGCCCUCUAGUUUUAUUAAUAGAAAAUGAAAAAUUAUGGAGUACAAGAGUUUAACAUCGAUUUCAUUUCAAGUGCAUUAUGAAUAGAAUAAAUGAAUAUUGAAUAAUAUAGCAAGAGUGAUCAUAUCAGUCAUAUGUACGUGGAGAAAGAACAAUGAAAAAAUGGUGUUAAACAAUGCUCUGUGGCCCAUUUUUAAGAACUCUGCCUGGAGUAAUACUAGAUGUAUGAGUGAUAAAAUAUGAGAUUAAGCACAAAAGAGCCAAGUACCUUCUUACAUCACGCCAGUCGGACGAACAGGGCAAGGAGGAAAUUCAAGGAUGAUGAUCUAGAGAUGUAGUAAUGACAUCUACCUUCUGCAGAAGUAAGAGCUUGCUAAGUCCAUUGAUGUCCAAGACGCUUUCAAAAACCUGCAACUGAGUAAGCUUUGACAUGCCACCCUUUUCUAUAUUCAACCUCCUCGUGCGGUUUAACCCAAAAAGUUGAAUUACUUUGAGUCUAGGAAAGCCAUGUGCAGAUACUUGCAUUUCCUCUCCAAGAUAUGAGUCCUUCCUUAAUCUUAGAGUCAACAAUUUUUGCAGCUUCUCCAAAAUUGCCAUAGGGUCAUAGUCCAACUCAGUCUCUUCUAAGGUUAAUUGUGUUAGACUUGGUGGGAACUGACGUGCAUUAGGUAACUGUGGUAUGCGUCCCUUUAUUUGCAGCUUAGAUAGAUGUAGCCAAGAGUUCAUGACAAAGGAUGGCAUGCCGGGGGGAUAUGCCUCAAGAUACAAGGAUCGAAGAUUCUCCAGUUUGGCAAUGGAGUUUGAGAACUCAACCAUUUCCAAGUCAAAUUUCCCUUGAAUUUUCAGUUUCCCAAGGCUAGUUAACUUACUUGUAUCAUUUUGUUGCCAAUCACUGACCCAUAUGUUAGACAGAGUUUGGAGAAGUGUCAAUUAGCAAUGGCUUGCCAUCUUGACUAUGAUAGAAGAGGAAGAGAUGUCGUAGAUUUUUCAUUUUUUGUAUCACAGUUGGCUUUUCCAAUAUAACAAUACCAAUAUCCAAAGUUUGCCACCUCCUUAAAUUACCUAAAGAGGUUGGAAGCUUUGAAAAGAACGAAUUACUCUCACGGAAUGUGAAUGGAAGCUUUAUACUCAAGUACGUUAAAUGAAUUAGUCUCCCAACUGAACUUGAUAGUCUAUUGCGAAACUCUAUACCUUCCAAGUUUAACACUAUGCAAUUUAAAAUGCCUAUAACGGAAAUGAGGUGGGAGAAAUAAUAUCAAAUUGUCAGUUUUUGGGUCGAAAGAGUGAAGGGUGCGAAGAUAUGUAGUUGAAACAUACCCCCCGAGCCAAAAUGGAUACCUUGUCGACGACAUUUGGUUGAAGGGUGAGAUGAACAAGAUGAGGGAACAUGAACUAUGUUAUUUUGAAUCUCAAACAGCUUUUGCUUUUUUGCCUUCUUUAUGCAUAAAUCCCUUACUAGAUCAUGAACCCGACAUUUUUUACUUCUCUCAUUAAUACUCACUGCUACUACUUGAAUCAAAUUUCUAUUGAUUAACUCAUUCAAAUAAUCCUCAGCAGUGUCCUCCAUUCUUUGUUCAUCUUGUUGUGGAAUAAAACCCUCUGUAAUCCAUAAAAGGAGUAAUUCUCUCUUGGGGAUGACCCAAUCUUCUGGAAAGAGGCCUAGAUAAAGAAAGCAUGAUUUCAAGUUGUGGGGCAAAUCGAUGAAACUUAAGCUCAAUAUUGCAUCUACACCAUUGCCUUCAGAGAAGGGCACCUGGAGCUUGUUGAGCACCUGUUCCCACACAGUCGGCAACUGCUUUUUGGAUGAUAACAAGCCUCCCAAUACAACAAUGGCCAAUGGCAAACCAGCACAUUUCUUCACCAUCUUCUCCCCAAAUACCUUUAACUCUGGAGGACAAUUGUCAAUAACAUUAUUGGGGAUUGCAGUUCUACAAAACAGCUUCCAACUCUCUGCUUCAGAGAGAAGUUGCAUUUCCAAGGGGACACUCUGAAUAUCUGCUUGCAAAGCAACAUCCCUAUUUCGAGUUGUAAGAAGUAAUCUACUGCCAUUGUUCUUCUUUGGAAACACAUUUUCAAGACAUUUCCAAUCUUCACUGUUCCAUAUGUCAUUCCGUGUAAAAAAAAAAAAAAAAUCAAAAUCCCCAAUCUUUAAAAACCCCUCUUCCAUUCUCAAUUGAGCCCUAAUUUCAAAAUCUUUCAAAAAGGGUCUUCAUCUUCUUCUUCUUCUCUUCUUCAUUGCAUAAGCUUCCACCACCAAGGUUGCUGAAAUUUAUUUAUGAUGAAGUCCUCCUCCCUCAUCAUUCUUUUCAACAUUGGAAAUCUCUACAUCAAUGUUUCAUUGGCGCCAUUUCUUUUCCGGAGUGGCUCAUUCACAGGUUUCUUAGCUUAAGCUAUCUUUUUCGGGAACCUUAGGUGUUCGGUUUGUCCAUCUUUCUCUCCACCAUUAGCUUAAUCUAGAUGCUUUCUUUGUGUGGAAUCCUUUCACAACAUAUUUUUUUGGGGUUUCAUUUUUGCCUUGGAUUGUUUUUGCUUUCUAGCAAUGUUAAUCCUAGGCUUUGUUUGCUCAUUGUGAGUGCCCUCUAUACAUUUUCAUGCUUGGAAUCUAUUUUCAUGGUGAUAAAGCAUUUUUUGAAAGUUUUUAAAUGAAACCAUGUGAUGAGAUUUAGGAGGAGUUUCGUAUAUCUUAUGAUGGGAGUUAGGGGGAGAUUCUUGUAUCCUAUAGUUUUUUUGGGAUGUUGAUAUGGAUACUUGGUAAUAUGUGAAUACUUGAUUUUUGAGUAUUUGACAUUUUGUUGAAAUGUGGAUGUUUGUUGAUUUGGAUGUGAGAUAUUCUGCUAAUUGAAUUGUCAUCCAUUUGUCUUUUUUCUUGGAUAGAAAGGGAGAGAUUGUGGCCCUUUGUCUCUUUCUGGGACAAAAAGGGGGAGAGACAUUGUAGUUAUUAUUUUGGUGAUUGGAUAUAUGUGGAUAUCUAUGUGUUAAUUCAUUCAAAUCUUGUGGAAGUGCCUUGGAAUAUGUACAGGUGCUACUAAUGUUUUUCUUGAGAUUUUUUUUGCAGGUAUUGUAGUACCUAGGUUGUGGUUUUGAGUGAGCGAGUGGCCUUGUAUGAGUGUUGGGUGGGGUUUACUUACUUAUACUCAUUCGUGUUGUAAAGGGUUUUGUCCCAGAAUUGCUAAAGGGGGAGAUUGUGAGUGUUUAGCUAGGUUGGCAAUUCCGGACAAAAUUCCUAAGUGUCCCCUAACUCGGCUUUCCUAUUCCUAUUCGGACUACUUGACUUUGAAGACUAAGACUUUGCUAAGAGGCCGAGGUAUGUAGUCGAGUGUAGAGUGAUUGGGUGUGAAUCAACCCGGUUUUUAAUCUUUAAAUGUGUUAGAAAGUUGGGAAAAAUGAUUUUUGGUGCAAGGCUUUCAUUCCUCUGUUUCUGGAUCGAUCCAAGUGUAGGGGUGGAUCUAUCGAACUAAUGUUUUUUUGAUCAAAUCUCGGCCAUUAGAUUAAGGGUUUCUUUUUACACUAUAAAAACCAAUCUUCUCUCAUUUUCUGGAAGAGAGACUGCUGAAAAUGUGGGGAGAGCAGCCACACUCCAAGUGUUCUUCAUUUUCUCAUUUUUGCUUUCCUAAUUUGGGGUUUUUGAUUGCAAAGAAAAUCCACUUCUCUUAAUGUUUUCCAAACUAGUUUUCAAUGGAUUUUCUUGAGCAAUAAAUGGGUUGAUUCAUUACUUCAUUCACAUCUCAAUCUUUCAUUCUAUUUGGGUUUGUGCAAAAACCCAUUUUCUUCUUGUGUGGAUUCAAGAAGAGGCCGAGAUUGAACUUGGUGCGGACUCCAAGUGUGCUUCAAAAGGAGAAGCUGAAAAUGAAGGUACUAGUCAAGUAUUCUGGGAAGGAUUGGUUGGCUUGAGCUAGGUAAAACCUUGUACUCAGUUUUUAUUCCUCAUAAUGGAGUUUUCAAUCGGUGAUAGGUCCGUGGUUUUUGAUCUCUUCGGAGGUUUUCCACGUUAAAAAUCCGGUGUUCAUUGUCUCUUUCUCUCACUCUAUAUUUUGAUUUAUUUUUGAGGAGUGUUGAAGUAUUUGCAUGUGUUUUGCAUUUAUAAAUUGUUGGGAGAGUGUUGAUGCAUACAUUAUUGCUUGCGGAUGUUUUGCUUUGUUGAAAAGUUAUUGGAAGAAAAAAUUCUUGACAUUAAGAUAGUCUAAGGUUAGGUAAUCUUUGUUGGGAGAAUUUUUAAAUUGUUUUACAACACCUAUUCACCCCCCUCUGGGUGUGGUUCAUUAUUGAGAUUCACAUUUUCAUCUUCAUUUGGUCUAAGCUAGCAAGUUGAAGGAUUUUGAGUUGAGGAAAGCCAUUUGCAGAUACUUGCAGUACUCCUUGUCUGAGUUUUGAGAUCAUCCUCAAUCUUAAAAUCAACAAUUUUGGCAGCUUCUCCAAAAUCGCCAUAGGGUCAUAGUCCAGUAUAAUCCUAUCUAAGGUCAACUGUGUUAGAUUUGGUGAGAAUUCAUGUGCUCUAGGCAAUUGCUUUAUGUUUCCCUUCAUGUGCAGCUUAGAUAGAUGGAGCCAAGAGUUCAUGACAAAAGAUGGAAUGCUACGGGGAUCUGAAUCCAAAAAACUGUAGUGACUUGAUAAUGAGUGAUAAAGACUGAAGGUAUAUGAUGAUGUCUCAAGCUGCGGGAAGGGAUCUAAUAGAUCUGAUAUGUCACGAUCAUCACGUUCAUAUUGAUUAAGAUACAAUGAGCGAAGAUUCACAUGCUUGGCAAUAGAGUUUGAGAACUGGGACACUUCCAAGUCAAAUCCCACGUUGAUUUUCAAUUUAUGAAGGUUAGGUAACUUACUCGUAUCAUUUUGUUGCCAAUCACUAAACCAUAUGCCGGAUAGAGUUUGGAGAUUUCUUAGAUUGUCAAUUCGUAAUGGCUUGCCAUCUUGUCUUUCAUACGAGAUGAAAAGGUGUUGAAGAUUUUCCAUGUUCUGCAUCAUAGUUGAUACCUUCCUAAAAUUAUUUAUAUCCAAUGUCUGCAAACUCCUUAAAUUACCUCAAUAUGUUGGAGAAUAAGUUCUAAGCAGGAAAUUUACUCUCAAAUACCUCAAAUGAAUCAGUUUCCCAAAUGCUCUCGGUAUUUCAACGAAUAAACCUUCCAAGUCUAGCACCCUAAGCAGUUUGAAAUAUUUGCAAAUAAAAUCUAAUUGUUGUAGACGGCACCAAUGACCUUUUAAUGUGAAGAAGAAGAGAGAGCAAAUGUAUGGAGUUGAAUGUUUUGUGGAAGCAUACCUCUCCAAGUCAAAAUAAAUACCCUGUCGAUGGGAUUUGGUUGAAGGAAAAGAUGAACUCACGCUCUUUUUUAUCUCAAAAAGGGUCUGCUCUUUCGCCCUUUUGAUGCAUAAAUCCCGUACUAGAUCAUGAAUUUGGCAUUUUGUUGCUCUCUCAUUAACACUCACUGUUACUACUUGAACCAAGUUUCUACUGAUUAACUCAUUCAAAUAAUCCUCAGCGGUGUCCUCCAUUCUUCGUUCAUCUUUCUGUGGGAUAAAACCCUCUGCCAUCCAUAGGAGGAGCAAUUUUCUUGUGGGGAUUAUCUGAUCUUCUGGGAAGAGGCCUAGAUAAAGAAAGCAUGAUCUCAAGUUGUGGGGCAAGUCAAUGUAGCUUAAACUCAAUACUGCAUCUACUCCUUUGUCACUGGAGAAGUGCGCCUGUAGGUUCUUGAGCACCUUUUCCCACUCAGUAGGCAAUUGCUUUUUGGAUGAUAACAAGCCUCCCAAUACAACAAUGGCCAAUGGUAAACCAGCACAUUUUUUCACCAUCCUUUCCCCGAAUUCCUUCAACUCUGGAGGACAACUCUCAGUAACAUUGUCAGGGAUUGCACUUCUACAAAACAACGUCCAACUUUCCGUGUCCGAGAGGAGUUUCACUUCGUAGGGAACGCUUUGAGCAUCUGCUAGCAAAGAAACAUCCUUAUUUCUAGUUGUAAGAAGUAAUCUACUGCCAUCACUCUCCUCUGGGAAUGCAUUAGCAAGACAUUUCCAAUCAUCACUUCCCCAUAUGUCAUCCAAAACUACCAAAAACCUUUUCUCCUUCAGGCGUUUAUGAAGGAAAUCCCCCAACUCGUUCUCCUGCAAUUUCUCUAUCUUCCUUGCUUCAUCUCCCGUUGGUGUAUAAGGAAAUUGGUUUAGAAUUUGUUGAAAGAUGUCUCUGGGUCUACAAUCUUGGGAUACAUAAACCAACGCACGACAAGACUGAAAAUGAUCCACAACUCUGCUAUGAUUAUAGAUUUUCUUGGCAAGAGUAGUUUUGCCGAUGCCGCCCAUUCCUACAAUAGAAAUCACACGGCGCCUUGGGUCUCCUUUGGUCAGCUGCUUCACAAGCUCUUUGGCUUCUUCAUUCAGGCCUACAAUGACAUGUUUUUCUGCACGAGGAGUGGUCCGUCUUAGAUUCUGCAGCAUCUGAGUUGAAGUGCUUGUUCCUUCACCAAUAUUUUUUAUUCCCAGGAUUUCCCGCCUCUUUGAGAUGUCUUGGAGGUUAGUUUGGACGUCAUCGAUUUUCUUGCCAAGGUUAUGCAGACACCUCGGCUUUUGGAAAACGCGCUUGACAAAGAUUUUUCUCCUCAGGGCCUCAGCCUUGAGGAUGAACAUGUCGACCACGUCUUCAGCAUCAUAAGCAACAUCUCGGAUGUCUGAAACCCAGUUACGCACCCUUGGGUCUUCCUCUUGCUUUGCAUCGGCUGCUUCCAAGAAGCAGUUGAUCGCCCUCAGAUCUCUAUGCAGCCUCUCAAUUCGUGGGCGCACAUCCUUCAAGAAAACUGCUUCUUCAAUGAGUUGGUCACCAAUCCUGUUUACGACAAAGGAGAUUACAGCCCUUUCCAUCUUAAUCUUCUCCUUAUUACUCCCCUUAAACAGUCGAACGGAGAUGAUAAAUCUUUAGCAGGAAUGCCAAGAAGCAAGACCUUAUCAUGUCGAUCAAGGUAUCUUCAUUGACCAAACCAUUGCAUUAUUGUGUUUUUGUUUUUUUGGUGGAAAGGACUGAGAAGAGUAUUUUAUGUAAAUGCCAGAAAUGCAUGAGCUGGACUUGAUUUUGAUCGACCAACGACCCAUCAUAUGAAGGCAAUAUUUAAUUCAGAAGUUGAAAUUCAGCUAGCAAUCAAAGAAGUCUCUCACCUUCUAUUCAUAAUUUAAAAUUUGUUCAUCCAUUAGUCUAUUUUAUCCCUUUUGGUUUUAUUUUUUAUUCUCUUUCAAAUGUGUUAGGUGUCGAAAAAAUGUACAGAAAGUUUUAUAAUUAAUGGCCUCUCACAUUCGUGGUGGUAAAAAUCAAAACAAUUUUGUGAAAGUUGUAGGUUUGCUUUGAUCCAGACUUCUCAUUAAUUAGACCAAGUCAAGCAAACACUGAAUGGAAUAUGAAAUUUGAAUAAUCUUGGCUUCUGCAAUUUGAAUGAACAACAGGGGAAGCCAAAACGGUGCAUCAUUUUGGCAGUGCCCACAUGCAUGCUUCCACCUUGCUGUACAGACUUGUCAAGCGGUAUAAGCAGACAGAUAAUUUUGAUUCAACAAUGUACCCAAUGGAUACCAAGACAGCAACAAUUCCAAUGAAGAAGAUGAAUAGAGUGGGGCACUACGGGCACGUUUGAUCAACUGGGGUUGAAAUAUAGGGAACUAAGUGAGAGAAAUUGGCAUGUGCAGCAUGAGAAAAGUGGAGGAAACAGAGGAAUCCAUAGAAGAGGAUGGAGGAAUCCUGAAACUUUGUUUGAUGCCUCUAAAGAAGAAACAGAUAUUGUGUUGCUAGGUGAAGAUAGAAACAUAGAAAUUAAUCAGAUGCCCUUAAUUAUGUAGAUGAAAAUCAGCAUGGAAUCUGGAAGUAAAUGGAUGUAAAUCACAGGGAUGGAUCCAAAUCACAGAAAAAUACAAGAACAAUAAACAAAUUAUACACUGAGACCUGUUGAAAAAACUAUUAUGAUUGAGUUGAUAACAAUCUGCAUCCUAUGCAUACAAUCUCAGUCUCUAAUACUUACUCAUUAAAGUUCUGACAGUCACUGACCUAAAAGGUCUUGAUCAGGCAUGGAUUUUACAAUCACAUACAAAAGAAAACCCAAUUUGUAUAUUCAUUAUCUAAUGACAAUCUUCUUGUACUGCGGCUUAUAACCCGGACAAUCAUCAAUGGUAAUAGUGUCAUAUCUUGAGACCUAAUUUCCUGAGAUGGAUAUGAAAAUCAAGAACAACAUCUUAGCCCAAGAAAAAAAAUUGAGCAGAUGCUUACAGUUUUGAUGUGUACAGAGUGGGUCAGGAGUAGGGUUAUAAUUUGGAAAUAGAAAUGUAUUAGUCACAUUUACCUUUUGUAGAUGUGAGAGCUCAUUAAGCUUAACGAUUUCCACGAAACUUGCAAAAAUCUGCAAUUAAGCUUUGACAUGCCACCUUUCUGUAUAUUCAUCCUCUUCCAUACUGUUAAGUUAGAAGGAUAGAGAAUUUUUAGUUGAGAAAAGCCAUUUGCAGAUACUUGCUUUUCCAUCUCCAUGGUAUGAGUCCUUAAUCUGAGAGCUAGUCAACGAUUUUGGCAGCUUCUACAAAAUUGUCAUAGAGCACUCGUUGUAAGAGACCAUUCAUUUUUAUGCAUGUCCUGUCGUACACAAAACAAGAAAUGUACAAGAGCCACCAUUUUAAUUUGUGCCACCAUGCUGCCCAUUCAUGCCACACAGACAUAUGAAUCAUAAUACAAAACCCCAAAAACAAGAAACUCGAUCGAUACAAUAAUCAAAGCAAAAAUAUGCACAUUCUCUUGCCUUAGAAUGACGAGUAAGACAUCCUUAUAUUCAUAUAUAGAAAUUAUCAGAGUUUCUUUAACAAAGAAGAGCUCCAAACCACUUUGAUUGAAAUGCAGAUUGGUAAGAGACCAACACAAGAAGCACACCCCUCAUUAGGAUAGUAACACCCCAAGGAAAGCUCCCAGCUCUGUGAUUGGACUCAUGCUGUGGAUGUGGAAGCUGAAAACUAAGCCCCUCGUUGGUGGAGAAGGAAGCCAUGAAGAAGAUGAAGACCAAUUCAUUGUAGCUUGGUGUAACUGGGCCUUGUAGCUUGUGUAAAACCAAUUCAUUGGUUUCUCAAUCCCUGAUCCCCUUCUCUUGUGGAAAAACCACUCUAUUGUUUUUUCAGUCUCUACCUUAGUUCAUCUGCAAGAAGUAAAUAGGCUUAUUACGCAUGAAUUGAAAUUUCGAAUUUUACGGAUAUAUCGGUACUUCGAUUUUAUGGAUAUAUCGGAAAUAUCGGUGAAUAUUUUUUCACAAAUAUUAGUAAAACAAAAAUUAUUUAAAAUUCAUAUGAAUGUUUGGAAAAACUAAAAAAAAAUGAUAAAAUAAGUAAAAAUACAUAUUUUAAAGUUAUCUUGUAAAUAUAAUUGACAUAUAUAUAAUCAAGAAGAAAAACAUCGUAAACAGAUAUAUCGAUAGAUUCGAUAUUUGAAUUUUAAAAAUAAUAAAAAUAAAUUUUGAAAGUGUAUAAAGUUAGAAUUGAGUUAAUAAAUAUUUGAUCUUAUUGAAUAAAAAUAAUUUAUACAUAAAUACAAUACAUAUGACAUUGUAAUAGUGUUUAGUAUUAAAAGGAAGAUUGAUGUGGUUCCAUUAUAUUGUUAGAUAAAGGGAGCUUAUUUUGUUGAAGACGAUAUUUAUUUUAAAAAUUUUAAAAUACUUUUAUUAAAACAUAUUUUAUUAUAUUUUAAUUAAAAAAUUAAAUUAAUUUAUAUAAAAUAUUUUAUUUGAGAUUUAAUUUUUUAAAUUUUAUUAAAGAUAUGUAACAUUAAUUUAUUUAAAUAAUUAAAAUUAUUAAUAAUUUAUUUUAUUAAAUUAAUUUUAAUUUAUAAAAUACAUAAAAAUCAAAAUUUCAAUCCAUGAUUAGUGAUUUAAUCAAAAUAAAGUUGGAUAAUUAAUAAUUAUUUAUAUAGUGGGAGGAAAAUUGUUCUCAUGAUUUGUUUAUUUAUUUAUUUUUUUUAUCUCUACUAAAUCUAAAAAUCAAAUGGGCCACCCUCUUCUCUCACACUCACUCGGGCUGUCGGGCAUCAAGAAGCCCUUUUCUGAAGACGAGAGAAUCCCUAAAAAAGCCCUAUUUUCCUCUGCCACUCUCAAUCCUCGCAGGUACUAAUCUAAUCAUGUUAUUAUUUAUUUUUUUGCAACCCCCGUUUGAUUCCCAAGAAAAUCCAUCCCCCAUUCGAUUUCCGGGAAAAUUCAUCCUCGUUUGAUUUCCGAGAAAAUCCAUGCAAAACCCCCAAGGAAAACCAAAAAAAUUGCUUUUCUUUUGCUCCCUGUGUUUUCUGGAUCUGUUUUAGGGGUCUUUUUGCUGUUGUGCCAUUGGAUUUCAAUUUCACGAACCCUAAAUACACGAUUUUUGAGCCAGGCUGAAAAACACAACCUUUGCCUGCAAAUACCGGCGAUAUUUUCGGCCAUUUUUUGAAAUCCUCCUCCGGCUGCUUCACGCGUCAGCUCCACUCACGAUUUAUCGGUUCUAAGCCGAUAUUUCGUCUAUAUAUCGCCGAUUUUGCCGAUUUCUCGCCGAUUUUUCACCGAUAUUCCUUUCGAUUGAUAAUCGGUGUUGAAUUUCGUUUCGAGGCGGCCCGAUAUCCGAUAUAUCGGUGAAAUAUCGCCGAUAAAAUCAGAUUUUGCAAUCCAUGUAUGCAAGUGAUCAUGGAGUGGGUUUGCUUGAUUAUAUUAGGUUAGGUUUUGGCAUAAAUGCAUUGAGUAUAGAAUCUAUUUGAAAGUCUUAUAUCUUUUCAAGUUCUGCACGUCCAAAUUGUCGUUACCAAUUUUACAAUUAACAGAGUCAGAGUCAUGAUAACGAAAAAAAAAAAAAAAAAAUUAUAAAAUCAUUUUCAGUAAAUAAGAAUUGAUUAUACUUCUUAUCUUUAAAUUUAUCAUUGUUGUAGACUAAUCAAUACAAAUAAUUGGUUCCAAAUGUGGGAUUUGUUACCAAAACUAUAUGAUUACAUGAAAAUCUUUUGCCUCUUUAUAAGAGUAAUUUUAGUGGAUAAGAUCCUUAACAGGGAGUUCAACUUCUGACAUCCCCUGCAUAACGUAAUAGGACUGAUUCAAACUUCACAAUUCAAUAGAUGGACCAUUUCGGGCUUGGCCGUAGAAAACCCGCACUCGUUGCUAUUCAUAAGAAUAGAUAAAUGCAUACAAUCUUGGUAGCAAAUUAUUACAAUAAUAGGAACAGAAAAGCACACGCUUUGCUAGGUCUUAAUCACUUAUCAACUCACAUAAUUUACAGUAAUAUACAAAAGAAUUAUACAAAUUUCCAUGGAACCAAACACACUAUGCAUAAACAAUUUUCUCGUACUGCUGCAUAGGCCUCAGCAAUCAUCUGUGAUGAAAGUGAAUUGCACCCUUAUUCGAUCCUGUGUGCCUGAAAUGAAAUGAAAAAUCAAGCACAGCUAGUCAGCUCAAUAAUAGCAACAAUCAUCAUUACAAUUUCUAACAGAGAUUGAUUGGCUGAUGUUCUGGCUUUUUGUUUUUUGUUUUUAUCUUUAUUGCUUUUUUUUUUUUUUUAAUCUUUUUUUCUGUGAACAUUAUAUGGUUCUUUGUAUCAUGUGUACAUGGCCAAGAAUUACGGGGUUGGGUCCAAAUCAAGAACAAAUCAAGAAUACAUGUUGUACAAACAAUCUAGACUAAUGCAAACAAUCUCAAUCUCUAAUUCUAAUAAUAAGCUCAGACAGUCACUGACCCGACUAGGUCUUGAUCAGGUAUGGAUUCACCAAUCUUCUUGUGCUACUGCUUACAACCCCAGCAAUCAUCAGCGGUAAAAAUGCCAUAUAAUUUCGCCUUCUUCUGUCUCGCUGAAAAUGGAGAUGAAAAUCAAGCACAACCCAUUAGAGUGAGAGAGAGAGAGAAAUGUUAUUAAAUGAUUUUGUUCUGAUAGAAUCUUAUUUAGGAAAAGGCUGCUCUCUAGUUUUAUUAGAAAAUGAAAAAUUAUGCAGUACAAGAGUUCAACAUGGAUUUCAUUUUAAAUGCAUUAUGAAUAGAAUAAAUGAAUAUAGAAUAAUAUAGCAUGAGUAAUCAUAUCAGUCAUAUGUGGAAAUAAGCAAUGAAGAAAAGUGUUACAGAGGAACCAUGUUCUAGGGCUCCUUUUUUUAAGAACUCUGUACCUCGACUAAUCUUGAAUGUAUGAGUAAUCAAAAAUGAAAUUUGAGCAUAAAUGAGUUAGGUACCUUCUAAUUUUAUGCCAUUCAGAAGCAUAUGGCAAGGAAGAAAUCCAACGAUGACAUGCAUUGACAUCUACCUUCCUCAGAUGUAAGAGCUCACCAAGUCCAUUGAUGUUGAAGUCACAUCCAAAAAUCUGCAAGUGAGUAAGUUUUGGCAUGCCACCCUUAUUUAUAAUCAACAACCUUGGUGAUUCUCGUAAGCCAGAAAGUUGAAGGAUUUUGAGUUGAGGAAAGCCAUUUGCAGAUACUUGCAUUUCCUCUUCAAGGUAUUUGGCCCCGAAUCUUAAUCUGAAAAUCAACAAUUUUGGCAGCUUCUCCAAAAUCAUCAUGUGGCCAUAGUUUAGUUUAGCACGUUCCAAGGUCAAUUGUGUUAAACUUGGCGGGAACUCAUGUGCUUCAGGUAACAUCGGUAUGUAUCCUGCCCUCAGCAGCUUAGAUAGAUGAAGCCAAGAAUUCAUGACAAAGCAUGGAAUAAUGUUGGUAGGUGAUACUACCGUAAGAUACAAGGAGCAAAGAUUCGCAAGCUUAGCAAUGGAGUUUGAAAACUCGACCACUAUCUUACCAUCCGCAACUAUUUUCAAUUUUCGAAGGCUAGUGAACUCACUUGUGUCAUUUCGUUGCCAAUCACUAAUAUAUAUGGAUUGCGGAGGGUUUUAUUCCACAACAAGAUGAACAGAGAAUGGAGGACACCGCUGAGGAUUAUUUGAAUGAGUUAAUCAAUAGAAACUUGGUUCAAGUGGUGUCAGUGAGUGUUAAUGAGAGAGUUACACGAUGUCGGAUUCAUGAUCUAGUACGGGAUUUAUGCAUAAAAAAGGCGAUUGGCUAUUAAGCUCAAUAUUGCAUCUACUCCAUUGCUUUCUGCGAAGUGCGCCCGGAGUUUGUUGAACACUUCUUCCCACAUAGUCGGCAACUGCUUUUUGGAUGACAACAAGCCUCCCAAUACAACAAUAGCCAAUGGUAAACCAGCACAUUUCUUCACCAUCUUUUCCCCAAGUUCCUUUAACUCUGGAGGACAAAUCUCGGUAAAAUUGCCAGGGAUUGCACUUCUACAAAACAACUUCCAACUCUCUGCUUCUGAGAGAAGUUGCACUUCGUAGGGAACACUUUGAGCAUCUGCUUGCAAAGCAACAUCGUUCUUUCUAGUUGUAAGAAGUAAUCUGCUGCCAUUGCUCUCCUUUGGGAACGCCUUUGCAAGACGUUCCCAAUCGUCACUUUCCCAUACGUCAUCCAAAACUACCAAAAAUCUUUGCUCCUUCAGAAGCUCGUGAAGGAAAUCCCCGAACUCGUGCUCUUGCAUUUUCUCUAUCUUCCUUGCUUCAUCUCCAGUUGGGUUAUAGGGAAUUUGGUUUAGGAUAUUCUGGAAAACGUCUCUGGGUCUACAAUCUUGGGAUACAUAAGCCCAGG